rnacentral:rRNA from 1 species
CCUGGGAGACAGCAGUGGGGAAUAUUGGACAAUGGGGGAAACCCUGAUCCAGCGACGCCGCGUGAGUGAAGAAGUAUUUCGGUACGUAAAGCUCUAUCAGCAGGAAAGAAAAUGACGGUACCUGACUAAGAAGCCCCGGCUAACUACGUGCCAGCAGCCGCGGUAAUACGUAGGGGGCAAGCGUUAUCCGGAUUUACUGGGUGUAAAGGGAGCGUAGACGGCAGCGCAAGUCUGGAGUGAAAUGCCGGGGCCCAACCCCGGAACUGCUCUGGAAACUGUCUGGCUAGAGUGCAGGAGAGGUAAGUGGAAUUCCUAGUGUAGCGGUGAAAUGCAUAGAUAUUAGGAGGAACACCAGUGGCGAAGGCGGCUUACUGGACUGUAACUGACACUGAGGCUCGAAAGCGUGGGGAGCAAACAGGAUUAGAUACCCUUGUAGUC